ACUAGCAGUAAGAGUUUGAUCAUGGCUCAGAACGAACGCUGGCGGCGCGCCUAACACAUGCAAGUCGGACGCACGGGGUUCUUCGGGGCUCCAUGAGUGGCGGACGGGUGAGUAACACGUGGGAACCUGCCCUGGGGUCUGGGAUAGCUGCGGGAAACUGCAGGUAACACCGGAUGUGCCCCUUCCUGUAAGAGGGACGGGGAAAGUUUACGCCCUGGGAUGGGCCCGCGUCGGAUUAGGUAGACGGUGGGGUAGUGGCCUACCGUGCCUGCGAUCCGUAGCCGGUCUGAGAGGACGAUCGGCCACACUGGGACUGAGACACGGCCCAGACUCCUACGGGAGGCAGCAGUGGGGAAUCUUGGACAAUGGGGGCAACCCUGAUCCAGCGACGCCGCGUGGGUGAUGAAGGCCUUCGGGUCGUAAAGCCCUUUUGCCGGGGAAGAUGAUGACGGUACCCGGAGAAGAAGCACCGGCUAACUCUGUGCCAGCAGCCGCGGUAAUUC
rnacentral:rRNA from 1 species